rnacentral:rRNA from 1 species
AUUGAACGCUGGCGGCAGGCCUAACACAUGCAAGUCGAGCGGAUGAAGGGAACUUGCUCCUGGAUUCAGCGGCGGACGGGUGAGUAAUGCCGAGGAAUCUGCCUGGUUGUGGUGGAUAACGUCCGGAAACGGGCGCUAAUACCGCAUACGUCCUGAGGGAGAAAGGGGGGGAUCUUCGGACCUCACGCUAUUGGAUGAUCCUAGGUCGGAUUAGCUAGUUGGUGGGGUAAAGGCCUACCAAGGCGACGAUCCGUAACUGGUCUGAGAGGAUGAUCAGUCACACUGGAACUGAGACACGGUCCAGACUCCUACGGGAGGCAGCAGUGGGGAAUAUUGGACAAUGGGCGCAAGCCUGAUCCAGCCAUGCCGCGUGUGUGAAGAAGGUCUUCGGAUUGUAAAGCACUUUAAGUUGGGAGGAAGAGCAGUAAGUUAAUACCCUGCUGUUCUGACGUUACCAAAAGAAUAAGCACCGGCUAACUUCGUG